rnacentral:rRNA from 1 species
AUGCUUAGCUCACCGGAGAUAGGGCCACCGUCGGAGAACAAGCCGAUGAUUUCACCACCACUAUUCCCUUCCGCAGCACCUCCCCAAGAAACCCCCCAACCUACCACCGCAGAUCCGCUGGAGCCAGCCCAAUCUGAUCACGCCGAGUCGACUCCACCGCCGCAUCCAGGCGUCACCGCGACGUCUCCGGAAGCUUACGAAUCUACGGUGUCGGCGCCGGUGCAUAUUGACGGAAAAAAGCGAGAGGCGGGCAGGCCGCCUUCGCUCUCCGCCUCACCUGCUCUCGAAGCCACCAAACCGGAGCAGCACGCUUCGCCUUUGCCGCCGCCAGCGGCCGAGGCUUUCCCCGAGGCAGCGACCACGGAGGCAUCGCCUUCUCCCUCGCACCAAAUCGUGGCGGCCUCGGUGGUGGAAACUCCGUCGCCGUCAACCCCAUCUAGCCCUCCAGCUUCGACCGCAGGCGCCCUGUCGGAUGGGUCAGUCGCUGAUUCGGCCGCAAUGGUGUCCGAGGAAGCCGGCCGGCUACCCGCUGCGCUCGAAUCGAUGGAUGCCAACCGGCCCACUGCUCCUGCACCGCCGACGCUACCAUUGAAGAGUGAACCAGAGGGGUUGUUGCCACAACAGCAUCGGCGACCACCUUGGCCUACGGUGCUUCCAGGGUGUGAAAAUUUCGAGCACUCACAGCCGCCUUCUCCUCGCCCUCCCCAGGUUGAAGCUGCACAUGGCUUGCCAGAUGCGGCCCAGACCAAUGCAAUUGCAGUGACCUCGGAAGAGCCUGGCGCGCCGUCAGCAUGGAAGAGUGACUCUGAGGGGUCAUUUGAAGUAGCAAUGCAUAUACCACUUUCUUCCCCAACGGAGGCUGAACCCUGUUCGCCGGACAUGGCGCCUCCCGGGUUUGAGAAAUUUAAAUUUUCAUGGCCGCCACUACCCCCUCCCAACCUGUCAGUCAAAACUGCACACUCAUUGCUAAAUCCGGCUGUGCCGGAGGGGGUGGCUAAACCACUGCCUGUAUUGGAGACUAUGGACACAAAGGCAGUUGCUGCACGUAACCUGCCACUGCCAUCAUCGGAGAGUGGGGCAGAGGAGCCAUUGUGGCAGCCACUGCUGAGAUCACCUUCUCCCAUCACACAAGCUGAGCCCUGCUCACCAGAUAUGCCACCUCCUGGGUUUGAGAAUUUCAAGUUGUCAUGCAUGCCACUAUCCAAUGAAAACACAUAUGCCUCAUCCGAUGUGAUUGCCGCCAAGGCAGUGGCAGUGGCACCUGAGGAGGCGGUGUUACCAGUGCCAACAUUGAAGGCAAUAGAUGUCGAGACAGACAGUGCGUGCAACUUGCUGCCACCAUUGGGGAGCAAGUUGGAAGGGUUAUUGAAACAGCCAUCAUUGAGAUCAACUACUCCAGUUGCAGAGUCUGGUCCUUGUUCACCGGAGAUUGCACCGCCCGGGUUUGAGAGUUUUAGAUUGUCAUGGCAACCAUCAUCCACGCCUCCGUCUGGGACUGCAUAUAUCAUGCCAGAUGCUGCUGUGAUGCCAUUGCCCGUGACAUUGGAGGAAGCAGCUGGAUCACCACCUGCAUUGGAGGCAAUGGAUGUGGACAUGAAUGCCAUACAUCCACUAACAGUUCCUUUAGAGAGUGGAGUGGAAGGAUCGCUGCAAGAGCCACAGCCAAGGCCACCUUCUCCUAUUUUGCAAGAUGUGCCCAGUUCACCAGAUAUGGCACCUCCAGGGUUUGAGAAUUUUAAGUCAUCACGGCUACUGCUACCUUCUCCAGUCUUCUCACAGACUGCAUACACCUUACACGAUUCAACCACCACUAUAGCUGAAUAUGUGUCGGAGGAAGCAGCUCAGCUAUCACCUGCAUUAGAAGCAAUUGAUGUGAAAAUGGAGACAUCACCGGAGAGUGGAGCAGAGGGGUCAUUUACCACAACAACUGCACUGGCGGCCAUCUCCUAA